AUGUGGAUCUUCCUUGCUAAUCAGUUGUGUUUAGCUUGCAACGAUUUCAAUUUGUUGUUUAUCCUGUUAGUUUGGAAAUGUUUCAGCUGCAUUUUGAAUUUUCUCUUUAUUUUGUUAGUUUUCUGGUGAUACUGAUUUUGAGGAAGCUUGCUAAAUCUGGUUUUGUGGAAGAUUUUAGUCUGGCUUGUUUUUGGUGUUGUUACUCUACACAACCUUUUUUCAUCAGCUAUUUGGUAUUGUCAGUUUUUCCUUUUGGUUUUGGAGAUUUUUAUGUUUUCUCUUCUGUUUUGAGGAUACAUUUUGUCUUUUCUGUGCUUUUAUACUUUAUUGUCAAUAGUGUUUUAUUUCUAUUUUAGAAAAUUGACCUGAUUUGAAAACGUUGACUCCCAAAUAUCCUGGUAUUUAACAUGGAUUUGAGUCUUUGUUGUUACUUGUUGACACUAGGCAUUGCUAGCAGAAUUAUAAUUUUAUGGAGGUCAUUUUAGGGUAAAAUAGGAUUAACUAUGGUUGCACCACGUUAGCUCUUUGGAGUCAAGGUACGCAUUACAUAAAUUCUGCCACACACAUAACUAUGGUUGCACCUCAGGAACGUGACAAGCUAUUUUGAUUCAGCUAAGCAGCUUGUGAAUGGGAUUCCCUUGCCACUAGAUCUUGGAUCCAACAUUGAUGAUGUAAAAGUGAAAGUCACCACGGCUGCUGAUUCUCUCUCCAAGAAGGCUAAAGAAAAUUCAAGGAUGAUACACAAAGUCAUAGAUGGAGUGAGACUGGCUCUUGUUACUGUUGCUGUUGUUAUGAUCUUUGUUGCAUUUCUCGGAUUGUUAUUUUCUUUACUUGCUUUGUCGUGUCCUGUAUACUCCUUGGUGGUUAUUGGAUGGAUUCUUGUUACAGGCACCUUGUUACUUUGUGCUGCAUUUCUAUUUGUCCCUAAGUAAGUUCCUAUAUAUUGCUUGGAGUCAAUUGUUCAACUUCAUGAAAUCAAUACAAAGCUUGUAAUGGAUAGAUAAUUGGAUCGAAUUAAUGAAUUCAUUAACUAAUGUUACACUUGCAUAUAUGCAUAUGUAUAUUUUUGAACUAAAAAAUAGUAGUAAUGUAUAAGAUCAUAGGGCAGAGUAAUUGGUGUGUUGGGUUGGAGUUAGCUGGAGCUGGGUUUCUUGUGUGGUGUGUUGGUGUUAUGGCUGAGGGAUGAAGAAAGAUAAGGUGUCUCUCCGACUCCGAAUAAUGGGAAGAAGCUAAAGGACGAAAGCGAUUUUUGACGAAUUGGCUGUAAAUGUCCAUUACAUGGAAUGCUUUGGUUCCUUUGCUCCCAUAAGAGGUUUGACUGAAGAUGGGAGCCAAGCCCAAUGGUUUGUAGAUGGACAGGCAACAUUUGAAGCAAUUGCGACUUCAAUUCAAGAUGCAAAAUCUUCAUUACGGGUUGGUGGUUGUGCCUAGAGCUAUAUCUGAGACGGCCUUUUGAUAGCUUUUCUACCUCUCGGUUAGAUUCGUUACUAGAAGAAAAGGCUAACCAAGGGGUUCAAAUCUAUGUGCUUCUCUACAAGGAGGUUUCUCUAGCUUUAAAAAUCAACAGCUUGUACAAUAUGAGAAGACUGUUAAAAAUUCAUGAGAAUGUGAGGGUAUUACGCUAUCCUGAUCAUUUUGCUGCUCGUGUGUUGCAAAUUUAAUUUCACAGGGUUCAAUUCUAGGUGUUGAGGUCCACGUUUCUAGAAAAUCAUAUUCUACUCAACUGGUUGUCAUGGAAGAUGAGAAUGGGAACCAAAAUUCUGCGCCACCUCAAAACGAAGGGUUUCUCAUCCCGAAUGUAUUUACUUUA